rnacentral:rRNA from 1 species
UACGUAGGCAGCGAGCGUUGUUCGGAGUUACUGGGCGUAAAGAGUGCGUAGGCGGUUUUCUAAGUUUGGUGUGAAAUCUCCCGGCUCAACUGGGAGGGUGCGCCGAAGACUGGAAGGCUUGAGUAUGGGAGAGGUAAGCGGAAUUCCAGGUGUAGCGGUGAAAUGCGUAGAUAUCAGGAGGAACACCUGCGGUGUAGACGGCUUACUGGACCAUAACUGACGCUGAGGCACGAAAGCGUGGGUAGCAAACAGG